UGCGAACGUACAUUGAUGCUCA
rnacentral:siRNA from 1 species